rnacentral:rRNA from 1 species
GAAGCGGCAACAGCUCAAAUUUGAAAUCUGGCGCAAGCCCGAGUUGUAAUUUGUAGAGGAUGCUUCUAGGCAGCGGCCGUUCUAAGUUCCUUGGAACAGGACGUCAUAGAGGGUGAGAAUCCCGUAUGUGACCGGCACGCACCUUGUACGUAGCUCCUUCGACGAGUCGAGUUGUUUGGGAAUGCAGCUCUAAAUGGGAGGUAAAUUUCUUCUAAAGCUAAAUACCGGCUGGAGACCGAUAGCGCACAAGUAGAGUGAUCGAAAGAUGAAAAGCACUUUGGAAAGAGAGUUAAAAAGCACGUGAAAUUGUUGAAAGGGAAGCGCCUGCAACCAGACUUCGCGGCAGUGUUCCGCCGGUCUUCUGACCGGUCCAUUCUCUGUCGCGAGGCCAUCAUCGUCUGGGGCCGCCGGAUAAGACUGGAGGAAUGUAGCUCCCCUCGGGGAGUGUUAUAGCUUCCAGUGAUGCGGCGUGUCUCGGGCGAGGUCCGCGCUUCGGCAAGGAUGAUGGCGUAAUGGUUGUCGGCGGCCCGUCUUGAAACACGGACCAAGGAGUCUAACAUCUAUGCGAGUGUUCGGGUGUCAAACCCCUACGCGUAAUGAAAGUGAACGGAGGUGGGAACUUUUUGUGCACCAUCGACCGAUCCUGAUGUCCUCGGAUGGAUUUGAGUAAGAGCAUAGCUGUUGGGACCCGAAAGAUGGUGAACUAUGCCUGAAUAGGGUGAAGCCAGAGGAAACUCUGGUGGA